GAUGAACGCUGGCGGCGUGCCUAAUACAUGCAAGUCGAGCGAACGGACGAGAAGCUUGCUUUUCUGAUGUUAGCGGCGGACGGGUGAGUAACACGUGGAUAACCUACCUAUAAGACUGGGAUAACUUCGGGAAACCGGAGCUAAUACCGGAUAAUAUUUUGAACCGCAUGGUUCAAAAGUGAAAGACGGUCUUGCUGUCACUUAUAGAUGGAUCCGCGCUGCAUUAGCUAGUUGGUAAGGUAACGGCUUACCAAGGCAACGAUGCAUAGCCGACCUGAGAGGGUGGUCAGCCACACUGGAACUGAGACACGGUCCAGACUCCUACGGGAGGCAGCAGUGGGGAAUCUUCCACAAUGGGCGAAAGCCUGACGGAGCAACGCCACGUGAGUGAUGAAGGUCUUCGGAUCGUAAAACUCUGUUAUUAGGGAAGAACAUAUGUGUAAGUAACUGUGCACAUCUUGACGGUACCUAAUCAGAAAGCCACGGCUAACUACGUG
rnacentral:rRNA from 1 species